UCCCUCAGGAGAAUUUCAACGGCUGCUAAUGAGGGCCAUCCAUUCCUCUGCAAUAUUUGAGGGACCUGAUUGGCAAAAAUGCCUUUCUUGCAACUCUCAAGCACUCUAUGAUGGCGUAUACAAGCAGGUGGGCCGCGUGAUUGCUGUCUGGUACAUGGGGGUGUAAAACCACAUUUUUUCAGAGAGGCUAUAAAGGCAAGUGUGUGGCCUACAACCUCCUGUGCCAGGGGGGAAACACAUACCCUUUAACCAUGAAGGUUUUCAUUUUCACUUCGUGGGCUUCAGCAUUACUAGGCUGGGAUUUCCAGUGGAGCCACAACUACAGUUCUCUCUGCUACCGCACGGCAAGCACUACAGGAGCGCCAAGUCUAUGUCCAAGAGGCUUCUAAACAGAUUCUACCCCCAAGCUAUAAGACUACUGAACAUCUAAUCAAAUGGCUACCUAGACUCUUUGCUGUUACUCUAUCUAUGCAUAGUCACUUUAAUAGCUCUACCUACAUGUAUAUAUUAACUCGACUAACCGGUAUCCCCUGAAUAUAGCCUCACUAUUGUUAUUUUACUGAUGCUCUUCAAUUAUUUGCUUUUCUUUUUUUGUAUUUAAAAAAAACUGUAUUGUUGGUUAAGGGCUUGUAAGUAAGCAUUUCACUGUAAUGUCUACACCUGUUGUAUUUGGCGCAUGUGACAAAUACGAUUUGAUUGAAAGAGAAUUCAUUUAAGGGGAAUUAUCCUAAAUGUUUAUUGCAUGACUACCUAGUAAGUUCGGAAUACCCGCAGCCAAUGUUAAUCGGUGAUGUGUUCCAAAAUAAAUGAUAUUAUGAAAGUUGGACAGGAUUGUCCAUGAGCAGAAAACAGUUGUGUAGUGAAAGUUUUCAAAAACAUUACAACCAACCAGAAUCAAAUUGGACACAGUAAUACAUAAUGCAGCUUUAAUAUUUAAAUAUUUGUUAGAGUGGGUAAA